rnacentral:rRNA from 1 species
GAUGAACGCUGGCUACAGGCUUAACACAUGCCAGUCGAGGGGAAACGACGGGGAAGCUUGCUUCCCCGGGCGUCGACCGGCGCACGGGUGAGUAACGCGUAUCCAACCUGCCUCUGACUGAGGGAUAACCCGUCGAAAGUCGGCCUAAUACCUCAUGGUAUCGUCUGCGGGCAUCCAACGACGAUUAAAGAUUUCAUCGGUCAGGGAUGGGGAUGCGUCUGAUUAGCUUGUUGGCGGGGUAACGGCCCACCAAGGCUACGAUCAGUAGGGGUUCUGAGAGGAAGGUCCCCCACAUUGGAACUGAGACACGGUCCAAACUCCUACGGGAGGCAGCAGUGAGGAAUAUUGGUCAAUGGGCGAGAGCCUGAACCAGCCAAGUAGCGUGCAGGAAGACGGCCCUAUGGGUUGUAAACUGCUUUUAGGCGGGGAUAAAGUGAGGGACGUGUCCCUCAUUGCAGGUACCGCAUGAAUAAGGACCGGCUAAUUCCGUG